UACAGAGGGGGCAAGCGUUGUUCGGAAUUACUGGGCGUAAAGGGCGCGUAGGCGGCCGCCUAAGUCAGACGUGAAAUCCCUCGGCUCAACCGGGGAACUGCGUCUGAUACUGGGCGGCUUGAAUCCGGGAGAGGGAUGCGGAAUUCCAGGUGUAGCGGUGAAAUGCGUAGAUAUCUGGAGGAACACCGGUGGCGAAGGCGGCAUCCUGGACCGGUAUUGACGCUGAGGCGCGAAAGCCAGGGGAGCAAACGGG
rnacentral:rRNA from 1 species